rnacentral:rRNA from 1 species
GUUCAGGUCGGCUCAGAUUGAACGCUGGCGGAUGCCUUACAUGCAAACGGCGGCGGACGCGCAAUUCUAAGUGGCAUUGGCGAACGGGUGAGUAAUGUAUCGGAACGUGCCCAGUAGCGGGGGAUAAUACGCGAAAGCGUAGCUAAUACCACCAUGCGCCCUGCAAGGAAAAACGAGAUCGCAGGCCUUGCACUAUUGGAGCGUAUCCGGAUUAGCUGGUUGGUGAAAUGCGCCACAAUACCGGCGGCGAUCAUGUAGCUGGUUUGAAAGGACGACCAGCCACACUGGGACUGAGACACGGCCCAGACUCCUACGGGAGGCAGCAGUGGGAAUUUUGGACAAUGGGGGAAACCCUGAUCCAGCCACUCCGCUGUGUGCGAUGAAGGCCUUCGGGUUGUAAAGCACUUUUAUGGCAGGAAAGAAACGUCGUGGGUUAAUACCCCGCGAAGCGGCAGGCUCACACCGAAUGGCACCACGACUAUACAAAUUUACCAAUAGCCGCGGUAAUACGUAGAGGUGCAAGCGUUAAUCAGAUUCUCAGACAUCGCUGUGCACGCAGGCGGUUCGGAAGAAGAUAUGUGAAAUCCCAGAGCUUAACGCACUGCGAGAUUUUAUUUGCUACUAUUUCAGAGUGUGUGUCAGAGGGAAUUCCCGCAUGCUGUGGUAAAAUGUAAUAGAUAUGCGGAGGAACACCGAUGGCGAAAAACGGCCUCUGGGAUAACACUGACGCUCAUGCAGAAAGCGUGAGGCAAACAGGAUUAGAUACCCUGGUAGUCCACGCCUAAACGAUGUCAACUAGCUGUUGGGGCCUUCGGGCCUUGGUAAGCAUAGCUAACGCGUGAAAUUCGACCACUUCUAAGAUACGGUCGCAAGAUUAAAACUCAAGAUUGACUGAGGACCCGCACAAGCGGUGGAUGAUGUGGGUCAAUUCAAUUCGCGCGAAAAACCUUACCUACCCUUGACAUGUCUGGAAUGCGAGGAAUUUGGCGAAUAUCUCAUGAAGAACCAGGUUUGAGUGCUGCAUGGCUGUCGUCAGCUCUGUCGUGAGAUGUUGGGUUAAGUCCCGCAACGAAACUUCGCCUUGUCAUUAGUUGCUACGAAAGGGCAUCCGUAAGACCACACAGGUGACAUCGUCCAGAAGAAGAGUCGAGAUGGCAUCAAGUCUCAUGGCCACUGUGGGUAGGGCUUCACACGUCAUACAAUGGUCGGGACAGAGGGUCUCCUUCCGCAAGGGGAGCCAAUCCCAGCUUCCGAUCGUAGUCCGGAUCGCACACCCACGCAGUCUGCAGCUCGACUGCGUGAAGUCGGAAUCGCUAGUAAUCGCGGAUCAGCAUGCGGUGAAUACGUUCCCGGGUCUUUGCUUCGCCCGUCACACCAUGGAGUGGGUUUAAAGUGAUUAGCUAACCGCAGGCGUUCACUACGGUGAUUCGCCAGCUGGGCAGUCUCAUAACAAGAGUAG